CCUACGGGUGGCAGCAGUGAGGAAUAUUGGUCAAUGGGCGAAAGCCUGAACCAGCCAAGUAGCGUGAAGGAUGACUGCCCUACGGGUUGUAAACUUCUUUUAUAAAGGAAUAAAGUUAGACACGUGUGCCUAUUUGUAUGUACUUUAUGAAUAAGGAUCGGCUAACUCCGUGCCAGCAGCCGCGGUAAUACGGAGGAUCCGAGCGUUAUCCGGAUUUAUUGGGUUUAAAGGGAGCGUAGGUGGGUUGUUAAGUCAGUUGUGAAAGUUUGCGGCUCAACCGUAAAAUUGCAAUUAAGACUGUCAGCCUUGAGUGUAGAUGCGGUAGGCGGAAUGCGUGGUGUAGCGGUGAAAUGCUUAGAUAUCACGCAGAACACCGAUUGCGAAGGCAGCUUACUAAUCU
rnacentral:rRNA from 1 species